rnacentral:rRNA from 1 species
GACGAACGCUGGCGGCGGGCUUAACACAUGCAAGUCGAACGCAUGCCUUCGGGCAUGAGUGUCGAACGGGGGAGUAACGCGGGGGAACCUGCCAGUAGGUACGGAAUAGCUCCGGGAAACUGGAGAUAAUACCGUAGGUGUCCUGAGGGACAAAGAUUCAUCGCCAAGGGGUGGGCCCGCGUCGGAUUAGCGAGUUGGUGGGGUAACGGCCUACCAAGGCGACGAACCGUAGCUGGUCUAAGAGGAUGAUCAGCCACAUUGGGACUGAGACACGGCCCAAACUCCGACGGGAGGCAGCAGUGGGGAAUAUUGGACAAUGGGCGCAAGCCUGAUCCAGCCAUGCCGCGUGAGUGAUGAAGGCCCUAGGGUUGUAAAGCUCUUUCACCGGUGACGAUAAUGACGGUAACCGGAGAAGAAGCCCCGGCUAACUUCGUG